GGGAGACGGGGAGCGUUUUGACACCCUCGGAGACCCGGUGUAGCAGGAAGAGCCCAUUGAUGGGGAAGGUGGGGGCGGUUGUGCACCUCAAGCAGGUAGCUGAAGCAGAGAGAGAAGGCGGCAGGCAUCAGCGUUUUCUUCUAUGAACUUAUAAGAUCAAAGACUUUAAGACUUUCACUAUUUCUUCUACCGCUAUCUACUACGAACUUCAAAGAGGAACCAGGAGUACGGAAGGAGCAUGAAAGUGGACAAGGAACGUGACCAUUGAAGCACCACAGGGAGGGGUUCAGGCCUCCGGAUGACUGCAGGCAGGCCUGGGUAACAUCCAGCCUCCCACAAGAAGCUGGUGGAGCAGAGCGUUCCCUGACUCCUCCAAGGAAAGGAGACUCCCUUUCCCGGUCUGCUCAGUAACGGGUGCCUUCCCAGACACUGGCGUUACCGCUUGACCAAGGGGCCCUCAAGCGGCCCUUAUGCGGGCAUGACAGAAGGCUCCCCUCUUGCCUUCUAUUCACUUCUCACAAUGUCCCUUCAGCACCUGAC
rnacentral:lncRNA from 1 species